UAACAUUCAUAUGCAUAUAAAUAUUAUUUGCAGUCUUUUUUCCUCAUUUCAGCUCUACUUUCCAGCGGACACAUGCCACAUUUCCCACGGUCAAAGGGAAAAGCGGACGGAGCCCAAGGCCACGCGAGUACAGUGAACACUGGUUGGUGAGGGACGAGGUGGGUGACGGCGAAGGCAUAAAAAACCCGCAGCUGUCAUUGGCAAUAAAAAUAAUAACACCCAUCCAGUGCUCGAAAGUAACAAAAGCAACAGCAAUCAAACAUUUUCGCUGCUUCGGUUUCUUUUCCUUUUUUUUUAUCAAUCACAAUAUAAACACUCAACAAUGGAAGGGGCGAAAACGAGUGUACUACACACACCCCACAGGAAGCGUUUUUCGCGUUUCACUUCGAUAUUAUUGAAGAACAAAAAUACAUAAAAAGGCAUUUUUAAUUUCCACGCAAGCCUCGCUGCCAUAAUUGAAGUAAAAGCCAACGCCAUUUGAUUAUUUGUAUAUAAAUAAAAGAAUGUCGAUUUUUACGAUUUGUUUGACAUGGAAUCAAGCAGCACAAAAAGCCAGAUCGAGGCAGAGAAAAAUGAAAAGUUCACAAAUAUAUGGCAGUCUCAUAAAUAGGAGACCAGAAAUCAAUUGACAAUUUAUUGUUUGAAACAUAAAAAAUGAGCGAGUCCAAGUGGACUCGGACUGUGGAAGGAUGUGGGCUGGAUUCGGGGAAAAAUCUAUAUUAAAUUACGAGCCGGCUAACAAAAUGUCAAAAUAAUAAUAAUAAAAAGAAGAAAUGGCAAGAAAAGUGUAGAAUUGUGUAAACUUGAAGAUAGAGGCAGCUGUAUACC